rnacentral:lncRNA from 1 species
UUGUCGAAGGCACACUUUAUGUCGGCUUCGUUACGGCGAACCCAGACAACCGUCUCUUCACUAAAAUCCUAAACCCUGGAGAUGUUUUUGUUUUCCCCUUUGGUAUGGUUCAUUUCCAGUUCAACAUAGGAAAAACUGCGGCGGUUGCCUUUGCUGGUCUCAGCAGCCAAAAUGCUGGGGUUAUCACCAUAGCUAACGCAGUGUUUGGCUCAAACCCACCGAUCAACCCAGAUGUUUUGGCCAAGGCGUUCCAGUUGAACAAGAAUGUGGUUAAGUAUCUUCAGUCUCGGUUCUAAUGGGAUUAACAACUACUUUAAGAGUCAAAUCAAAACCCCAAAAGUUUGUUUGCUUGUUUGAAACAAUGUUUGCAUGCAUUUUCUAAAUCAAGUCAUACUAUUCUGCUAAGUAUCAUGUAAUAAACAGAGAGGUUUAAAUUUACUUCUCCAGUCUCCUCUCUUGACAUUAUCCUUUCAGAAAUAAGACCAGAAUUUGUAGUGCUCUCGGAUUUAAAUUACGACCACAAUCAAGGGCACCAAUGCAUAUGUAGUUCAUGUUGUUAUUGUUGUAUUUAUGUCAUGCUAGCCCUACUUGCUUGUAUUCCUUGUUAGUUGGACUUGAAUGCAAAUGUUGGAAUUUCUUCAUCUUGAGUUACGAUGAGAUAACAAAUUGAUCAAGAAAUUGCUUGAAAUAUAUAUUUUUAAAAUAAUAAGUUGGAUGAGAUCCAUCUAUAUAUCUCAAAGUGAAACCAAAUUGGAAUGAAGGGUUGAGCCAAUUAUAUAAAAAUUAAUGAGAUGUGUGACUCAUAUUUUUUUCUUCCCCUAUAUAUCUUAUUUAAGUGUUGGAUAGCCCAUCAAAAGUAGACUCAUUUAUCAAAUGGUUUUACCUUAAGGCCCAAACUUCAUAUUUUGAUAAUAUAAAAUAUUUUAAUAUAAUAAAAAUAAUUUAAAUUCAAAUUUGAUGAUAAAAUUUAGCUUGGGGUGUGUUUGGUUAUUUUUAAUAUUCGAUUGGGUUUUCUAAAAUUCGGAAUGCACUUAAAGUAUUUAGAAAAAAAAACCUUCAAUUAGUUUUCUUUCCCGAUUAGUUUAUUGGAUUCGUGUAAACUCUUUCGUAAUUUCAUUAUCUUUUCCUUUAAAUUUAAAGAAUCCAUUGACAGGAGCUUUCAAAUUUAACGAUUUAAAAGUUUACCAAUUAGAAUGUUUGAAGAUAUAAUCUUUAACAACAAAUUUUUUUUUUGAUGAAUGAUAAAAUUCAUUAAUUCAAGAAUGCAGUUAAAUUGCUAUAAAGGAAAAAAAAACACUGUAUAGUGUUAUACAAACAAAUUAACGAAUGAUACCCCAAGCACAAAGUGAAGCAUUAACAGGACCAGUUCUAUUGAUUGGUCUUCCUCCUAAGCGAGCCUGCACAAUCUCUUUAAUCUGCACCAAGACAGCAUUUUCAGUCUAGAAAGAUGAACCAAAAUACAUCUUGUUCCUCUGUCUCCAUAUCACAUACAAAUAUGCACUCCAAGCAAGCUUGAGUAUAGCAACAAGCGAAGACUUCCUUUAAGUUUCAAUAUCGCCUAAGCUAACUCUUACCUCCAAAUUCUCACAACCCUAUGAAUGGAGCAAAGGCGCAAAAUUGAUUGCCACACCUUCCUUGAAAAAUUGCACUAAAAGAAAAUGUGAUCACAUCUCUCUGUAGCUUCCAUACAGAAAAAGCAACAAGUAUCAACCGAAAUCCCAAAAGCAAGCAAAUGAUCCCGAGUUGGGAGUUUAUUAAGAAUGACCAUCCAAGCAAUAAGAGAAUGUUAUGUAAAGGGAACCAUAACAAAUGGUUUCAUUCCACCUUCAUACCACGAGUUCUAAUUGCCUCCCAUAGUUGAGAAGUACUCACUUUAGCAUUAGCAAAUUGUUGAGAAGUGACAGCAACCAAAGUGUUAGGAUCGUCCCGAUUAAGCAACGAACAAGUAAAAAUAGUAGAAGAAAUUGAGAAGAUGAACACACAAAUUUAACGUGGAAAAACCCCUCAAAAGAGGAUAAAAAACCACGGGCAAAGAUAAAUUUACUAUAAUGGCAAAAGAAUGAAGAGUACAAAAGAUGGAGAUAAAAACUAAACCCCGAAAACCCGAAAAAUAAAGAACCCUCAAACGUAAACACAAAAUUCUCUGAAUGUGUUAUGAGUUCUAAUCUAAUAGGUGUCUCUUUAAUUCUAAGAUUGUAAAGGAGCCUAUUUAUAGGCUAAAUUAGCAAGUCAAAUAAACUAUACUAAUAAAUGCUAAAUAUAUUAUACUAAUAAAUACUAAAUCUUCUAGAAAGAAAAUAUAUUUUUGUUUAACUUGACUUGCAAGCAAUCUCUUAGAAUUUGGGUCACACAAUUCUAACAAUCUCCACCUUGACACAAAUUCUUUCAAUGCCAUCUUUGCCAAAACCCGCCACGGGCCUAUCUUGAACUAUGCAGGGAAUUAACUGAGUCGAAUCUAUACUUAGAAGCUGGAAGACUUCUAGCCUUCGACUUGUGCACUGCCAAAUCAAAACUAACCCGGGUCUGAUUUUCACGAAUACAGUGCCCUAACUUUUCAAAACCUGCAUCCAAAAGAGAACCUCUCUUCAACGAAACGGUCAUACCUUUUCCCCUCCUAUGACCAAGUUGCCUCCGCUUCAAAUGAGUUAACUUUGACUCCGUAACGGACGAGGGACGUCCGAUUUCACCGGUCACUGUAGAACCUUCUAGAAUAUAAAGACUGCCGGUUCUUUUACCUUUUAACAAAACGAGAGCUCCACGAGAUACUUUAAUGUCGCUCGACUCGAUGUUGAUUCUGCAUCCUUUCAAGUCUAAAAUACUCAAGGAGAUGAGAUUCUUUCGUAAAUCAGGUACAUACCUGACAUCUGAGAGUGUCCUAAUCGUCCCAUCGUGUAUCCUAAUUUUAACAGUACCAAUACCGAUUAUUUUACUAGAUGAAUCAUUUCCCAUGUGCACAACUCCACCUUCAACUGAACUGUAUGUGGAGAACCAUUCUCUAUUGGGACACAUGUGGAAAGAACAUCCUGAAUCUAGGAUCCACUCAGACGUAAGCUUGGAGUUAUCGCUCGUUGACACUAACAAGAAAUCAUCACCGCCUUCAUCGACCAAAUUAGCACCAGCUACAUCUUCCUCGUUACUCUCAGCAGCUCUUUUAUUUCGCAGUUUAUAACAAUCUGCUUUGACGUGACCUAACUUUUUGCAAUAGCGACACCUUUUGUCUCGUUUCUUUGAUGCUACCAAAACGGAAACUUGUCUAUCUGCUUUGCUAUUCAAAUCAAACUCAUUGUCGAGUUUGUCUCUACUCAACAAAUUACCCUUCACAUCUUCGAACGAGAGUUUGUCUCUGCCAUAAAUCAGGGUCUCCUUGAAAGACUUGUAUGAAGAGGGUAAAGAGCACAAUAAUAGCAUAGCUUGAUCUUCAUCGUCAAUAUGAACCUCAACGUUCUUUAAAUCAUUUAAAAGAGUAAUGAAUUGACUGAUGUGAUCUUUAAGAAGCUCACAUUCGUUCAUGCGAAACGUAAAUAGACGUUGUUUCAACACUAAACGGUUAGCCAGAGACUUAGUCGCAUAAAGAGUUUCUAACCUUUUCCACAAGGCGAAUGAGGUCUUCUCCAUCAAUACCUCCUGCAAUACUGUAUUCGCGAGGCACAACUGGAUUGCAGACAAGGCCUUUUCAUCAAGCUCUUCCCAUUCUGUUUGAUUUAGAUUCUCAGGCUUUUUCCCUGUAACAACCUUUUUCAAGCCAUUUUGAACUAGAAUUGCCAUCAUCCGAACUUGCCACAGAUUGAAAUUUGUCUCACCAUCGAACUUCUCAAUUUCAAACCUUGUUGCUGCCAUCUCUGAACGGGCUGAUCUAUGAAAGUUAAACUAGCUCUGAUACCACUUGUUAGGAUCGUCCCGAUUAAGCAACGAACAAGUAAAAAUAGUAGAAGAAAUUGAGAAGAUGAACACACAAAUUUAACGUGAAAAAACCCCUCAAAAGAGGAUAAAAAACCACGGGCAAAGAUAAAUUUACUAUAAUGGCAAAAGAAUGAAGAGUACAAAAGAUGGAGAUAAAAACUAAACCCCGAAAACCCGAAAAAUAAAGAACCCUCAAACGUAAACACAAAAUUCUCUGAAUGUGUUAUGAGUUCUAAUCUAAUGGGUGUCUCUUUAAUUCUAAGAUUGUAAAGGAGCCUAUUUAUAGGCUAAAUUAGCAAGUCAAAUAAACUAUACUAAUAAAUGCUAAAUAUAUUAUACUAAUAAAUACUAAAUCUUCUAGAAAGAAAAUAUAUUUUUGUUUAACUUGACUUGCAAGCAAUCUCUUAGAAUUUGGGUCACACAAUUCUAACACAAAGGCUUCAACUUAAGCGUCCUUCACUAAUUCCAGCUACUCAUUGAGGUAGGAGCCACAUCCAGAAAACUCCUACCCUUUAACACAUAUUCACUAACCCAAGCGAUCUAAAGAGAGCCCUCUCCUACAAGCAUGGCACGGAUAAGCUGCAAAAUACAAGUUUUAUUCCAUUCUGCCACAUUUUUUAGUCCCAAGCCCCCUUCAAAUUUAGGUAAACAAAUUGCCUUCUAACAAACACAAGCCCCUUGACUCGAGCCAACCUUCCCUUUCCAAAAGAAGCUAAGACAAUAUUGAUAAACCUCUUAAAAACACUCUUAGGCAUUAGAAAUUUACGACUCCAAUAGGCUUGCACACUAAAGAUCACAACCUUAAUGAGUUGCAGUCUACCGACAUAACUCAAGUGCUUAGUAGACCACCCUUGAAUCCUGUCCAGAAUCCUAUUAGUUAAAGCAGCAAAGUCAAACUGAGACAGCUUUCGAGAAACAAGAGGAACAUAAAAGUACCUCAUUGGUAGCCUACCAACUUUAUAGUCCAUUACAUUCCGGACUCACGAGGACACUAUAUCAAGAUCUUACACAUAUUUUUAACAGUCACUCAAGUACUCAUUCACCAAUACUAGAACAUUAGUCACAAAAGAUAUAUCUACAAAGACUUAGUAGGAGUCGACAUUAAGGACUCACCUAUUACAGUUCCCAGCUCCAGACUCUGUGAUCCAGAUUGAACUAGCAGCAACAACUACUUAAAGAAUAUGAAUUCACCAUUAUAACCAAUACACAGUCAGAUUACUAGCAUAUAUCUACAGAUAAUCCCUAUGCAGGGCUUUUUAUUUAUAACUUGUAAUGAUCUGUUAAAAUCUCUAAUUCAUUGGAUAAAUCUUUGAUUCUUUUGAGUAUCUAUUUGUAAUUUAAUUUGAUAAAAUAAAAUAAAAUUUAAAUUAGAAGAAGAUACAGAUACAUACGAAUGAGGUCAUUUAUAAUUGAAAAUCACAUCAACAGAAUUGGAUCAUACAUUAAGAAUCAUUAUUAGUAAACAACAAUUUAAACAUAACCAGACUUGCUGGAGAGUAGGGGCAGAGUCAGGGGACCGGUAGGGCCUCAGAAAUUCUAGUUGUUCUGGAAGGCACACUCUAUGUCGGUUUCGUUACAUUGAAUCUAGAUAAUCGUUAGAUUUCUAAAGUCCUAUAUUCCGGAGAUGUCUUUGUUUUUCCUGUGGGUCUCAUUCACUUCCACUACAACAUAGGGAACACCUAUGCUGUCGCCUUUGCUGGUCUUAGCAGUGAAAACCCAGAGGUGAUUACUAUCGCAAAUGCAGUAUUUGGCUCAAACCCUUCCAUUAAUGCUGAUAUUGCCAAGGCUUUUAAUCUGGAUAGAAAAAUGGUGAAGAAUCUUCAAUCCGAAUUCUAAUGGGAUAACAAUAGGAGAAAUGUUGCAUUUGUUAUUUAUAGUAUAACAUUAAAUUUUAUUUUAUUUUCUGAAAUAUAAAAUAAAAGAUGUUCUUUGUGGGGCCUCUUCUUAUGUAAACAUGUUUAGCAUAUUAUAAAAUUGAAAAUUCUUUUUAAUUGAAAUCCAUAAAAUAAUUUUAGAUUUCACCCAAAAAUAUUAGAUUAAACAUGAAAACAUCUUUUUUAUUAACCAUUGAAAUUCUAAUUUUAUUCAAAAUUUGUAAUAAUUGAAUUUGGAAAAGAUAAAUUAUAUUUGUGUAUAUAUAAAUAUUUCGAAUCUAUAAUAUUUCAAUUGUAUUUGUCUAAAACUAUUUUUUAUGUUUAUAGCUAGGGAUGAUGUACAUACAACCUAUUGAAGCAAUUAUAAAUUUAUAUAUAACAUAAUUGACGGAAUAAUAUCAUACACGAGUGGGGUAUUUAUUUUUUUAUUAGCUUGGCUCCUUAUUUUCAUUUUGUAAUUUUUAUUAUCCAAAUAUAAAUCUCUGUUAAAAAAUGUUAAGCCAAUCAAUGACGCUUACCACAUAUCAAGAAAAGUUAAAAACAUACUUCAAAAUGUUUUUUUUUUAAAUAUACAUGAGAAAUUAAAAGAAAAUCAUUAAGAAAACCAAAAAAAUCUUAAGAGUUAAAAAAUUAUGAAAAAAAACACUAAAAAUUUCUUAAUCUAUUUUUUAAAAUUAUAAAAGAAAUAUUUUAAAAAAUUAUAAGAAUGCUAAACUUAAAAAAAUUUAAAAAAUUCAUUUUAUUCUAUCAACUUUUUUUUUAACAUUUCUUAAUUGCAGUGUUUGUAAAUGGCAAAUUUUGCAAAGGCCCAAAGCUUGCAGUUGCAGAGGAUUUCUUCUUUUCAGGCCUAAACAGGCCGGGGAACACAUCAAAUCCAGUCGGAUCAAAUGUCACUAUAAUCAAUGUAGAUCAAAUACCAGAACUUAACUCUCUCGGUAUAUCUCUGGUUGGAAUCGACUAUGCACCUUAUGGUGUCAACCCUCCCCCAGUCCCCACACUCACCCUCGGGGAUCCAAGAUCUUGCUUGUUGUCGACGGCACACUUUAUGUCAGCUUCAUUACAGCGAACCCAGACAACCGUCUCUUCACUAAAAUCCUAAACCCUGGAGAUGUUUUUGUUUUCCCCUUUGGUUUGAUUCAUUCCCAGUUCAACAUAGGAAAAACUGCGGCGGUUACCUUUGCUGGUCUCAGCAGCCAAAAUGCUGGGGUUAUCACUAUAGCUAACGCAGUGUUUGGCUCAAACCCACCGAUCAACCCAGAUGUUUUGGCCAAGGCGU